CAGGGAGACAGAACAAUUUUUUAUAUAAAUCUUGUCACCUUAGGUCGAUCGGAAUCUCAGGUUUUCAAAAAUUUUGAAAAUUUCAGUUUCUAAGUUUUUUUCUAGGUCACACCCAUUUUUUUCCUGGGCCAUUAGCUCAGGUGGUUAGAGCGCACCCCUGAUAAGGGUGAGGUCCCUGGUUCAAGUCCAGGAUGGCCCAUAUCUCUAUGUUGGGGGUAUAGCUCAGUUGGUAGAGCGCCUGCUUUGCAAGCAGGAUGUCAGCGGUUCGAGUCCGCUUACCUCCACUGAAUACCAUCUCUUUCAUUUAGAAGGAAAUUGAAUGGAAUUGAUCUAACGAUCUGGAAGAAUCUAGCUUCCUAUUAAUUUCUAUUAAUAAGAUGCUGGACUCAUAGAAUUAUUUCUUUGUAUCCAGAGAACCUUGACAACUGCAUAGAUUUUUUCAAGACAAUAAGCAUCUUUAUAAGAUGCAGACUUAUUAUUGGUGCAAAUGCAUUAAUAACAAUUCUAUUGAGCUGAUGCUUCAAUUUUUUGAAGUUAUU
rnacentral:tRNA from 1 species